GUGACCCUGAAUCAAGGCCAGCAGUUUGUUGUAGCUGCUGGUUUCAACCAGGAGCCUAAAGAGAGGUCUUUCUAGGGUCUGUUGGGCAUUUCAGAACUUUGGAAAUAUAUAGUCAAUUUAUUAGAAAGAAAUACUU
ensembl:snoRNA small nucleolar RNA SNORA2/SNORA34 family